UACGGAGGGUGCGAGCGUUGUCCGGAAUCAUUGGGCGUAAAGGGCGCGUAGGUGGCGGGACAAGCGUGCGGUGAAAGCUCGGGGCUCAACCCCGCGUCGGCCGUGCGAACUGUUUUGCUUGAGCACUGUAGAGGCAGGCGGAAUUCCGGGUGUAGCGGUGGAAUGCGUAGAGAUCCGGAAGAACACCGGUGGCGAAGGCGGUCUGCUGGGGUCGAACUGACGCUGAGGCGCGACAGCGUGGGGAGCAAACAGG
rnacentral:rRNA from 1 species